UCCUUCCUGCCUUGGUUGCUGGAGCUGCAGCUUUGCCGGCAGGCAGAUGGAUUCCCGCAGACUCCCGGAGAGUCUCUCACACGAUGGCAGUGGCCCACGCGUCCUGAUUUCAGUAAUCGCAAGCCCUUGUUCAUCCACUCAGCCUCGGAGACAGGUGCAGAUCUUCUAAAAGCUCUGAACCUGAUCCUAAAACCAGGUGUGUGUGGCACUCUGGUCAUCCAGUACUGGGAAAACUGGAGCAGAAAACGAGAGUCUGAGGACACUCUGCACUCCUGACCCUCCCGCUUCUGCCUCCCGAGUGCUGGGACUGACAGUGUGCAUCACAACACCUGCUUUGCCCUGAGCUUAGUCGGACUUUUUCCUGAUACAUCUGAGUAAGCAUGUGUAGGGACUUGCCUAGGGUUUUGUGUGUGUAGUGUGAAGUGGACAUUGAUGACUGGCCUUGGAUGUCACUGUGGACUCAUGAAGGGAUGUCUAGGGCUGGCAAACACACCUGGAUGUCUGGGGAGAAAGCCUUUCAAAGAGGCAAACCGCCUGGAUGAGAAACAGGCAUAAGGAUGGCAGGGGCAGAAGUCUCAGUCUUGCUGACGUCAUCUGCCAUUGCCCGGUGAGACCAGUUUCUCCAGCCCUUCAAAAGGACCCUAGUGAGUCACUCUCCAGCAUCAAACUGAGAUGGCUAAGGCGACUGGUUUACUGGAUUGGGAAGCUGAUCCUCCAGCUCUCAGUGUGCAGACAGCCACCGCUGGACUCCAUGGACCCUAUUGUGUAUGGUGACACACGCCUUUAAUACCAGCACUUGGGAGAUAAUGGCAGGCAGGCCAGCCUGCUCUACAGAGUGAGAUCCAGGACAGCCAGGGCUACACAAAGAAACCUUGUCUUGAAAAACAAAACCAACCAACCAACUGAACAAACAAAAACAGAAAAAUUUUUUAUUUUAUUCUUAGUCAUGUGUAUAUAUGUGUGUCUGCGUGUGAGUAUGUGCUCUUGAAUGCAGAGCCAACAGAGGCCAGAAGAAGACGUCAGAUCUCCUGGAGCUGGAGUCACAGGAUUUAGUGUAUGUAUGAAAGAACAAUGUAUAAAAUCAGCUCUGGAUUCUCAGUCUUAGGGGGCAGGGUGUCCAGGCUGGGACUCUGUGACCACCCACUGUGAGAUCUCCCUGGUGUUACAUCAUGGGAUAGGAGGUUGUGAGCACAGAGGUGAGGCUGUGAGCACAGAGGUGAGGCUGUAUCCCCAAGGCCUUGUCAGAAUCGUGCCCCCUCCCUAGAUAACAACUGUGGGGAAGCUAGACACACACAUUUGGGUCUUAAAGUACAGAUCCCCAUGCAAAUGAAGGAUCCUAUUUACACCAAUCACAAUACAGUUCCUCAUGCAAAUGAAGGAUUGUGACCUGCACCAAUCACAAGCCUUCAGCAGCCGUCAGGUGAAUGGCUUCCCAUUGCUGGGUGAAAAUGGCAAGGUUAUUUAGAGUUCACAGAGGCUUGUCUGGCUUAGAGAACUGUUUUCCAAGGCGAGGGCAGGCCCCUGGAGUGUGUCUUCAGCUACAGGUGUGACAGUUCUCUGUAGCUGCUGGAGUGACCUCAGAGUAAGUGUAAAGUGUCCAAACACCCAGCAGCACAGGGGUGUCUGCCGGCUGUCAACAUAAGGGCUUCUUGGCUGACAGUCCCCACCUCAGGGUUGCCAGGCAUCAGUCAGGGAAGGGCCCAUCACACAGGACACUCUCUAGAGAAUUACUGAGGCGCCAUAUAGAAUUAACAGUUCUCAGGCUGCAGAGAUGACUUAGAGAUGACUCUUUCAGAGCACCCAGGUUCAAGUCUCAGCAUCCAUAUGAAAGCUCAUAACCAUCUGUAACUACAGUUUCCAGGGAUUCAAUGCCUUCUCCUGGCCUCCAUGAGCACUACAUGUUCAUGGUGCACAGACAUACAUGCAGACAAAACAUCCAUGCAUAUAAAAUAAAACUGAAAUAAUAAAAAAAGAAUUAACAGUAUUUAGUUGGCAGUGUUUAACCUCUGUUCCUCUCUGUCUUAGUGGUACUGGAUGCUGGCUUGUGGUUCCCUUGUUUCUCCAAGCUGCUAUGCUAAGCUACUGCCUACCUCAGGACAGCACCUGUCUCCACAUAUCUCCUGUCUCCGCCUCCAUCUCUCCUCUGGAGUGCUGGGAUUAUGUAUGAAAGACAUUGCGCUGACUUUGUGUGGGGAUUGAGUUCUUUUUUUUAUUAAGAAAAUUUUUUCAUUCAUUUUACACACCAAAGAUCCCCCUCUUCCCUCCUUCCGCCCCCCAGCUUCCCCCUCCCAACCCACCCCCUACUACCCCCAAAGAAGGCAAUGCCUCCCAUGGGGAGGCACAUCCAGUAGAGGCCCAAGCCCUUCCCCUGCCUCAAGGCUGCACGAGGUGUCCCAUCAUAGGUAGUGGGCUCCAAAAAGCCCCCUCAUGCAUCAGGGAUGGAUUCUGAUUCUACCGCCAGGGGGCCCCUGAAGCAGAUCAAGCUACACAAUUGUCUUGCCAUGCAGAGGGCCUAGUCCAGUCCCACGCAGGCUCCACAGCUGUUGAUCCAACUUGCAUGAGUUCCCACGAGUUUGGUUUGGUCGUCUCUGUAGGUUUCCCCAUCAUGAUCCUGAUGCCCUUGCUCAUAGAAUCCCUCUUCUCUCUCUUUGACUGGACUCCUGGAGCUCUGUCUGGUGAUUGGCUGUGGAUCUCUGCAUCUGCUUCCAUCAGUCAUUGGAGAAAAGCUCUGUGAUGACAGUUAGGAUAUUCACCGAUCUGAU